ACCGCACUCUUAUCCACACACUGAGCUUCCUCGAGAACGACCGCCUUGCGAGCAGACGGGUGCUGUGAGCUGCAUCAGCAUCUGUGAGCCUGAUUGCUUUCACCCAUGAACCCUGCAACAGCCCUCUCGCCUGCUCACGGCAUCUCUUAUUGUGAUGAUGCAAAUAGCUAACACUUGUCAAAAGGAACAAUAAUGUAUGCUUUCCUCUGAAAAUUUAGCUGAUGCAGAGCAGAAGCUCACUUGAUGCAGAGCAGUCUUUUCAAACAAUCCUGGCUUCUCUUUUUGAAGACAGUGUUGAAAAGGAGCUCGGGAAGGUGCUGAAGAGCCCGGAGCCGUGCUGGACAGCAUUGGUGACCCCCUGCACGGCGAGAGCUGACAUCUGCAGUUGCCUUACGUGUCCUGUCUUCAGCUACUGAGCAGCCCAGGGCUGGGCCGUCCUGCUUGUCCCACGGCUGCCUGGUUUCCUCAAAGCCCUCUGAUGGGGGACUUUGUCUGAAGCACUCAGGUGGGCUAUAUCAACUUGGGCAACCUUCUCCACAUCUGCUGUCCCCUUCAGGAGACUCAAGGAUGUAUGUGAGGCUGGACUUUCCGCCAGAGAAGCUAUUCAUACUUUUCCCACGUAGGUCCUAUGUAUCCAGAUGUUCAAUGAGUUUGUCUGCAUUAUACGCUGUACUCCGUUGCCUGGUAUGGAUGUCUGGCUCAUGGUGCGUGCUCCCCACAUCCCUCCAGAACGUUUUUAAAGUUUGGCAUCAUGCUCGCGCCCUCCGGUCUUCACAAGGAGAGAGCUCGAAGUGAGAAGCCACGUGACCAGUAACAAAAUUAGCUAUUUUGUUCUUGUGUUCUCUCUCAAUUUCUAGGUGCGAAUCAGCUAAUCCUUGGGGUGUAUUAGCACUCCCUCUGCUACCUUGAAUCUUUUCCACUGUAACUUUGGCUGUGCCAACCCCUCCAUCACCCCCAAAAAGGGCUCCAGGGUGGGAACACCCCCUUCAGCUGCUUCCACCACUGCCAAAACAUGACUCCGCCUCUCCGCGCGGAGUGUUCAGUGUCCUCUGAACGCUCCCAGUGUAGCCUGAGCAUCCGCUGGCCCCACGGACUCUCCAGGGGAUUUUGGCUCCUGAUGUGACUGAAGAAGAAAUGAGCUUGAGUUUCGAUUCUCUCAGCUAGCUGUUUCAGCUUUUUGGUUUCCCUUAUACUUUUUCAUUUAAUCUGCCAGGGCUUAUGAUCUUAUUUUCUUCAUUUCUCAGCUUUUUGAAAGAUGCUAUCUUGUUUCUAUUAACUUCUCUUGCUUUGCUGAUGAGCAGUGUCAGCUGAUGCUUGCCCUUUCUCGAGGCCGGGCUGUAUGCACUGGUGCUGUUUUCAGUAUGGUGCAUUUUCGUACUCUCCACACCGUUGUAGGGAUUUAAUUUUCUUUGUUGCCCCUUUUAGGUUGUUUUUAGUGAUUGAGCAAAACCAUGGUGGAUUUUAUUGGCUUUUAUCCAAUAGCAAUACCAAAUUUGAAUACUUUAUAGCUGCUAUUGCAGAGCAGUGCUUCAGCUGUAAGAAUCUGAAUCAAUGUGACUGAUAGAGAAGGAAAUCGUAACUGAUUUAACUUCAGGACUGUUGGAGAAGGAAAUUUCUGAAGCCGAUUUAGCUUCAGCUUAGCAUAAGUCUGACUCUUGCUUAGCAUCAGUGCCUAAAGUAGAUGAAGCCUGCAGGCCUCAAGGCUGAACUGUCAGUGAACUCCAGAAACAUUGCGAAGGAUGUGACAUUGCUGAUGAUGUAACCGCAAAUCCAGUUAAAAGUAGCUAACAAAGAUACAAAACUAGCUAAUGAGGCUACAAAGAAAACUGCGGGAGACAAGAUGGGAUGCACCUGGGUUGUGGUUGACCUUUGAGAAGAUAAGGGACUGUGAGAAACAAGGUCAUGGCAAUCAGCCUGGGAUGUAGGCCAGGACCUGUCAGAGGGAGAUAGACACCCGUCAGAAGAAGAGAGACCCCAAUUAGAAGGAGAGAGACCACUGUCUCAGUAAAAAAGAUUGGAGGAGACCUUCACUGGCAGGUGGGAAAAUAAAACUGUAAAGGGUAUAAUUACCCCAGAAUGUCUCUGUUCAGGGUCCCUCUAUGGAGGCACCUAGCUCGAGCUGCUACUAUGCUGUACCGUCAUUUAAAUAAAUAAUUAAUUUUGCCUUUAUAUGUGCAUGUGACUCUGCUCCUCAGAAACCUAGGGUCGAACUGUUUCCAUAACAGUGACCAGCCCACAGUUUUGGUUUAGAAAGCCUCUCAAUUACUAUGUUAUUUCCUGCCCUCGCAGUCUCUCUGAUCUCUCAGCAUCCCCCAGUCCUAGUCAUGCAAUGGCUGUCACCGCCCUGGUCUUCUGCAAAGCGAUCUGUGCGGCGCCAUGUGAGAGCUGUGAGAUAGACACCAGGAGAAAGGAUCACCACCAUGACUUGUACUGGAAGAGGUGGCAGAAAAGUUCCUAGUGAAGUUGCUCAAGUGACCUCUUGGGACUAAUCAUACUUAAUAACUCAUUAAUGACCUUGGGAUGAUAAAUGUGAUGAUGAAAUUACUUCCAAAAUAAACUUGGGAGGCAUUGCCAGUAUAAAGGAAGGUCAGGACAAAAAAAAAAAAAAAA